rnacentral:misc_RNA from 1 species
AUUCAUAAUUGCAUCAACACUAGCAUCUCCUUCAAGUUCAGAGAUACUUUGUCGCUUAAUGUUAGGAAUAUCUGGGUCUGUUGAAGGAUCAGCCUGACUAGAUAAUUUCCAGAUCCAAUUGUCCGGAAUUGUAGAAGAUAUCCAAAUUGGCAUAUUGAAACAAGACUCACCAUCUAAAUCAACCUGAAACUCUGCAGUAGUGGAAGUGGACAUAUCAGAAGGCCUUCUUCUGUCAACGCAGUUGGCUUUCCUUGGGGAGAAAGUAUCUGGAGUUGGAUUGCGGAACUUCAUCUUAGAUACAUGUAGA